rnacentral:rRNA from 1 species
AUUGAACGCUGGCGGCAUGCCUUACACAUGCAAGUCGAACGGCAGCAUGAUCUAGCUUGCUAGAUUGAUGGCGAGUGGCGAACGGGUGAGUAAUACAUCGGAACGUGCCCUGUAGUGGGGGAUAACUAGUCGAAAGAUUAGCUAAUACCGCAUACGACCUGAGGGUGAAAGUGGGGGACCGCAAGGCCUCAUGCUAUAGGAGCGGCCGAUGUCUGAUUAGCUAGUUGGUGAGGUAAAGGCUCACCAAGGCGACGGUCAGUAGCUGGUCUGAGAGGACGAGCAGCCACACUGGGACUGAGACGCGGCCCAGACUGCUACGGGAGUCAGCAUUGGGGAAUUUUGGACAAUGGGCGAAAGCCUGAUCCAGCAAUGCCGCGUGUGUGAAGAAGGCCUUCGGGUUGUAAAGCACUUUUGUCCGGAAAGAAAUGGCUCUGGUUAAUACCUGGGGUCGAUGACGGUACCGGAAGAAUAAGGACCGGCUAACUACGUGCCAGCAGCCGCGGUAA